rnacentral:rRNA from 1 species
UGNGGACAUUCGCAAUGCGCGAAAGCGUGACGAUGCGACGCUGCGUGGAGGAUGAAUGCUUUCGGGUUGUAAACUCCUGUCAUGAGGGAACNGUCGUUNGUCGGAUAAUACCCGUCAGACUCGAUGGUACCUCAAGAGGAAGCCACGGCUAACUCUGUGCCAGCAGCCGCGGUAAUACAGAGGUGGCGAGCGUUGUUCGGAUUUACUGGGCGUAAAGCGUGCGUAGGUGGCGUCGUAUGUCGGAUGUGAAAGCCCACGGCUCAACCGUGGAACUGCAUUCGAAACUGUGGUGCUAGAGUACAGGAGGGGAGAGCGGAAUUCUUGGUGUAGCGGUGAAAUGCGUUGAUAUCAAGAAGAACAUCGGUGGCGAAGGCGGCUCUCUGGAAUGUUACUGACACUGAGGCACGAAAGCUGGGGGAGCAAACAGGAUUAGAUACCCUGGUAGUCCCAGCCGUAAACGGUGCGCACUUGGUGUUGGCGGUAUUGACCCCGCCAGUGCCGGAGCUAACGC